CACUAGUGUCUGUCAUUCACAGAAAUCUCAGAGACGAUUAUGCUGAUACACGUGUGGAUGGGUGGCAAUGCUGUUAGUACUUAACCAACACAAAGAACAGCAAUGCUAAUGCUAAAGAGCUACUGACAUCAAACAAACCAAUCACAGAAGAUCAACGAGACAGAGCAGGAUUAUUAGAGAAUAAACAAACUUUAUUUUGAAGAGUGUUACACAAUGGGUUGGGUGGGGCAUAAAAACAUGACAGAUCAUUCAAAGCUGCUUAAAAAAAGAACAAGAGAGAGUCAAUCCUACGAUGAACUGCUAUACACAGGAGAGAGAGAGAGACAUUAGCACUGGCAGUUUGGUCGCGUUUGAUCAUUUCAUCAAAAGUAUCGGAAAGAGAUUAAAAAGAUUUAAAAGGGCAAACAGGCCGACUUCCUCAAAAUCAUCAGAUUAAAAA